AGAGUUUGAUCCUGGCUCAGAGCGAACGCUGGCGGCGUACUUAACACAUGCAAGUCGAACGAGGAUCGCCUGUGUAGCAAUACAUAGGUGGUUCUAGUGGCGUACGGGUGAGUAACACGUGGGCAACCUGCCCUUGAGUCCGGGAUACCCUCUCGAAAGGGAGGCUAAUACUGGAUACGUUCCUCGGGUCGCAAGAUCUGGGGAGGAAAGGUGGCGAAAGCUACCGCUCUUGGAGGGGCUCGCGGCCUAUCAGCUAGUUGGUGAGGUAACGGCUCACCAAGGCUAUGACGGGUAGCUGGUCUGAGAGGACGACCAGCCACACGGGAACUGAGACACGGUCCCGACUCCUACGGGAGGCAGCAGUGGGGAAUUUUCCGCAAUGGGCGAAAGCCUGACGGAGUGACGCCGCGUGGGGGACGAAGGCCUUCGGGUUGUAAACCCCUGUCAGAGGGAAAGAAGGGUCGCCGACCUAACACGUCGGUGAUCUGACGGUACCUUCAGAGGAAGCCCCGGCCAACUCUGUGCCAGCAGCCGCGGUAAGACAGAGGGGGCAAGCGUUGCUCGGAAUCACUGGGCGUAAAGGGCGCGUAGGCGGGAUGGCAAGUCAGUCGUGAAAUCUCUCGGCUCAACCGAGAAACGUCGGCUGAUACUGCCGUUCUUGAGGGAUGCAGAGGAGACUGGAAUUCCCGGUGUAGCGGUGAAAUGUGUAGAGAUCGGGAGGAACACCGGUGGCGAAGGCGGGUCUCUGGGCAUUUCCUGACGCUGAGGCGCGAAAGCGUGGGGAGCAAACGGGAUUAGAUACCCCCGUAGUCC
rnacentral:rRNA from 1 species